rnacentral:rRNA from 1 species
AACGAACGCUGGCGGCAUGCCUAACACAUGCAAGUCGAACGAGACCUUCGGGUCUCGUGGCGCACGGGUGCGUAACGCGUGGGAACCUGCCCUUAGGUUCGGAAUAACUCCCCGAAAGGGGUGCUAAUACCGGAUAAUGUCUUCGGACCAAAGAUUUAUCGCCCUUGGAUGGGCUCGCGUUGGAUUAGCUAGUUGGUAGGGUAAAAGCCUACCAAGGCGACGAUCCAUAGCUGGUCUGAGAGGAUGAUCAGCCACACUGGGACUGAGACACGGCCCAGACUCCUACGGGAGGCAGCAGUGGGGAAUAUUGGACAAUGGGCGAAAGGCUGAUCCAGCAAUGCCGCGUGAGUGAUGAAGGCCUUAGAGUUGUAAAGCUCUUUUACCCGGGAUGAUAAUGACGGUACCGGGAGAAUAAGCUCCGGCUAACUCCGUG